UCAGAAAAACAAUCUCAGGGGUUUGAAGUGUCGGGGGGUGUGGAGGUUGGGGGAACCAGGUGGUGGGUAUUAGAGAGGGCACAGAUUGCAUGGAGCACUGGGUGUGGU